rnacentral:rRNA from 1 species
GACGAACGCUGGCGGCGUGCUUAACACAUGCAAGUCGAGCGGAGCGGCUAACGGGUGAGUAACGCGUGAGUAACUGCCCCCCUCCCUGGGAUAACAGUUGGAAACGGCUGCUAUUACCGUAUAGUGGGGGAUGACUCGCGUCCUAUCAGCUUGUUGGUGGGGUAGGGGCCUACCAAGGCGACGGCGGGUAGCCGGCCUGAGAGGGCGACCGGCCACAGUGGGCUGAGAUACGGCCCAAACUCCUACGGGAGGCAGGAGUGGGGAAUAUGGCACAAGGGGGGAAACCCUGAUGCAGCAACGCCGCGUGCGGGAUGACGGCCUUCGGGUUGUAAACCGCUUUCAGCCAUGACGCGGUAGUGGCAGAAGAAGCACCGGCUAACUACGUGCCAGCAGCCGCGGUAAUUC